AUUGAAUAGUAUAUGGUCUUACUUCGCUUUGAUUUGCCAAACCUAAACAAGAUUUAUUGGUCAAAUAAGGUGGGUUAUCAUGAGAAGCUUGUGUAAAUGCUUGACAUAGCUUACCUCAAGUUGAUGUAUGUGUCAAAACUAAAGGCGAGAGUAAGGUACUCCAUAAGAUUUUCUACAAGAUUUCAUUUAGGAACAUUUGUGAUGAUCAGGGAAUAGUAGUGAUAGCUAUAACUCUAUAUGGAU
rnacentral:lncRNA from 1 species